rnacentral:rRNA from 1 species
UACGUAGGGGGCAAGCGUUGUCCGGAAUCAUUGGGCGUAAAGCGCGCGUAGGCGGCUCGAUAAGUCUGCUGUGAAAGUCCAGGGCUCAACCCUGGGAUGCCGGUGGAUACUGUCGAGCUCGAGUCCGGAAGAGGCGAGUGGAAUUCCUGGUGUAGCGGUGAAAUGCGCAGAUAUCAGGAGGAACACCAAUUGCGAAGGCAGCUCGCUGGGACGUUACUGACGCUGAGACGCGAAAGCUAGGGGAGCAAACGGG